rnacentral:rRNA from 1 species
GGACCUACGGGGCGCAGCAGUGAGGAAUAUUGGUCAAUGGCCGAGAGGCUGAACCAGCCAAGUCGCGUGAGGGAAGAAUGUCCUAUGGAUUGUAAACCUCUUUUGUCAGGGAGCAAAGUCACCCACGUGUGGGUGUUGGAGAGUACCUGAAGAAAAAGCAUCGGCUAACUCCGUGCCAGCAGCCGCGGUAAUACGGAGGAUGCGAGCGUUAUCCGGAUUUAUUGGGUUUAAAGGGUGCGCAGGCGGCGUGUCAAGCAAGCGGUAAAAUAGCGGGGCUCAACCCCGUCGAGCCGGUUGAACUGGCG